CGGGGUGGUUUUUAGUCAG
rnacentral:miRNA from 1 species